GACGAACGCUGGCGGCGUGCCUAAUACAUGCAAGUAGAACGCUGAAGGCGGAGCUUGCUUCUCUGGAUGAGUUGCGAACGGGUGAGUAACGCGUAGGUAACCUGCCUGGUAGCGGGGGAUAACUAUUGGAAACGAUAGCUAAUACCGCAUAAGAGUAGAUGUUGCAUGACAUUUGCUUAAAAGGUGCAAUUGCAUCACUACUAGAUGGACCUGCGUUGUAUGAGCUAGUGGGUGGGGUAACGGCUCACCAAGGCGACGGUACAUAGCCGACCUGCGAGGGGGCGCUGCAACGCUGGGACGGGGACACGGCCCGCACCCCUGGGGGAGGCAGCCGUCCGGGACCUUUGGCAAUGGACGGAAGUCGGACCGAGCGACGCCGCGUGAGUGACGAAGGUUUUCGUGUCGUGAAGGUCAGUUAUGAGUGAAGAACGUGUGUCAGUGUUGAAAGUUCACACAGUGACGGUACCUGAAGAGAAAGAGCCGGCUAACUCCGUG
rnacentral:rRNA from 1 species